UACGUAGGGUCCGAGCGUUGUCCGGAAUUAUUGGGCGUAAAGAGCUCGUAGGCGGUUUGUCGCGUCUGCUGUGAAAGCCCGGGGCUUAACCCCGGGUCUGCAGUCGAUACGGGCAGGCUAGAGUUCGGUAGGGGAGAUCGGAAUUCCUGGUGUAGCGGUGAAAUGCGCAGAUAUCAGGAGGAACACCGGUGGCGAAGGCGGAUCUCUGGGCCGAUACUGACGCUGAGGAGCGAAAGCGUGGGGAGCGAACAGG
rnacentral:rRNA from 1 species